rnacentral:rRNA from 1 species
UACAGAGGAUGCAAGCGUUAUCCGGAAUGAUUGGGCGUAAAGCGUCUGUAGGUGGCUUUUUAAGUCCGCCGUCAAAUCCCAGGGCUCAACUCUGGACAGGCGGUGGAAACUACCAAGCUGGAGUACGGUAGGGGCAGAGGGAAUUUCCGGUGGAGCGGUGAAAUGCGUAGAUAUCGGAAGGAACGCCGGUGGCGAAAGCGACGUGCUGGACCUCUUCUGACGCUGAGGCGCGAAAAGCCAGGGGGAGCAAAACGGGG